rnacentral:rRNA from 1 species
AGAGAAUAGAUACCCAGGUAGUCCACGCCGUAAACUAUGGAUGCUAGCUGUUAUGAGUAUCGACCCUCGUAGUAGCGUAGCUAACGCGUUAAGCAUCCCGCCUGUGGAGUACGGUCGCAAGACUAAAACAUAAAGGAAUUGACGGGGACCCGCACAAGCGGUGGAGCGUGUUGUUUAAUUCGAUGGUAAGCGAAGAACCUUACCCAGGCUUGACAUCCUGCCAAGGUCUCCGAAAGGAGAUUGUGCCUUCGGGCCGCAGUGACAGGUGAUGCAUGGCCGUCGUCAGCUCGUGUCGUGAGAUGUUUGGUUAAGUCCAUCAACGAGCGCAACCCUUAUAGUUAGUUGUAUUUCUCUAGCUAGACUGCCCUGGUAACA